GGCUUCAUGCAUUAUUGCUAGUAGCUUUAAUGUUUCGAAGAUGUCACAUGUAAUAAAGGGUGAUAAAUGUAUAUUGGAAGUUAUUCUGGCAGUUAAACUCUUUCUUGGUUAUAUCUUUUAAGAUUGUCUUACAGGAUAAAGAAAAGGAAAAUGGUCCCAGGAAAGACAAGCUACAGUAGAUACAAGAUGCUAAGGACAAGAAUGUCUGUUAUUCAUGGAAACAUCAGAGUUCAGCAGGUUCUUGGAACAGCAAUAAAAUGAGCAGGUUUCAAAAGUUGGCCUUUGGCAGUCUAAACUUAAAAUGACUUGGAACAGUCAAACUAACCAAAACAUUGCAGUAAUACAACAUGAAGGAGAAAACAGCCCAGGUUUCAUAUACCGCCUCACCUUCUGGAAAACCAGGCCAGUUGAAACCAGAGGCUGCCGGUACAUUUUUUGGUGAUCAUUUGACGAAGCCAGUUGUAGUGCUUUUACAGUUAGGGGGAGUGAGUUUACAUUUUGCUGGAACCUUGUUACAGAUUGCAGUAUCAGCUAGAAACCACAGCCAUUCUAAAUAUAGGACGAACACAAUCAGACAACCUGGCUUAAACCAGGGCAGCAGGCAGAUCAAAGGAAAAGCUUGUGAAUAAUUUAGAAGCAGAACGUUUGUCUUGAUGAUUUCUAGGUCAAGUUUGAAUCUGGGUCAUUUGUGGUUAAAAACUAGGUCACCUGUUCAAACUGAAGGAAAACCUUGUGAACACUUUAGAGACUACAGUUGUAACUCAAUCUUUAUGAAGCAUGGUCAGAAUGUUUGUCUUGAUGAUUACUAGGUCAAGUUUGAAACUGGAAUAUGUUGGAUCAAAACUAGGUCACUAGGCCAGAUCAAAGGAAAAUCUUGUGAACACUCUAGAGACUGCAAUUAAAGUUUGAAAUUCAUGAGAAUUAGUCAGAAUCUGAGAAUGUAAGUCAGAAUGAAAAUUAGUCAGAAUGUAGGUCACUCAGUCAGAUCAAAGGAAAUGUUUGUGAACUCUGUAGAGGCUACAGUUGUGACCAAUUCUUUAUGAAAUUUGGUAAGAAUGUUUGUCUUGGUGAUAUCUAGGUCAAGUUUGUAACUGAGUUAUGUGGGCCAUAAACUAGGUCACUAGGCCAGAUCAAAGGAAAAUCUUGAGAACUCUCUAGAGACCACAAUUUAAAUUUGAAACUCAUGAGAAAGCUUGUGAAUAUCAAUAGGCCACAGUUGUGAAUAUAACUUGUCCAAUAAACUUGGACACAAUGUUUGUCUUGAUGAUAUCUAGGUCAAGUACGAAUCUGGGUCACAUGGUUUCAAAAACUAAGUAAGGAAGAAUGGACUAUUGACUUGUUUCCCAGAUAAAUCUGCUUAUGUCUAGGUAAGAGGUCAAUUGUUCAUAUUUCAACGGUCUUAAUAAAGGAUUUUGUAGCUUAUUUUGUAGAACCUCUUUUGUUCAGUUCCCUUCCAGUCAAAUAAAAACUAUUAUAAUGAUGUAUAAUAUUUUUGAUACAUUUUGUCUAUUAACUAGAAACCUUGCAAUAGCUGCAAGCAUUGUUACAUGAUUGCUGAUGUAAAAAAAACUAGCUAGAUAUUAUACGAUCAUUAAUUAACAUCGCUUGAAUUACGUUGCUGAAAAGCAAAAUAUAUAUAUUUAGCUACAUUAACCAUUUUCUUUCUAGAUUCACAUGUUAAUAAUUUGAUAAAUUUGGUUGUGUUUGGCCAUCUACAAUAAUAAUAAUUAAAAAAUCGCGUUCUUAGAUUUCUGUAUUUCGGACAAACUAGUAAGAAAUGGUAUUCAUUUUCUACCAUACCCAUAUUACAAUGAUAACAUAAACGAUAUUGUCUAUCAAUGCUGUUAUACCUUCCCGUUUCUAUCGCCAAUUUAUGCGAAGAUAAUCGAAAUUGAGAAAGAGCAAUUUGAUACUUUCUUUCCUUUAUACACUCUAAAUAUUUUUCUAAUUCGAAAUUGUGCUUAAAUAAGCUAAAGACGAUAAUCUACUAGAAUUAUUAAUAUUUGCGUACCAAGACUGCUUGUAGAUAUCAGUAACAAACUAUUACCAUAUACCUUUGGUAUGGGAGCUUCCCAAAUAAGUACAGAUGGAAAAAGACAAUCAAACAGGCUAUUACGCAAAUGUCAAGACGUCAAAUAGAACAGUGUCUUUCAGAGAAAUGUGCAGACUUUAAUGAAUUAAUAUUGAACGAUAAUGGGCCGUGUGAACUUUGGAAAUUAAGUAAAAAUAACCCAUCAUUAGCCCCCUGCUGUAUAUCAGUUAUAAGAGCGAUGGGGAUGUUCUUUUCGCAGAAAUUUAUACGGUCAUGUACUGGGUGUAACGCAAUCACUAAUGACACUUUGUUACAUAUUGUAUGUUACUGUCCAGCGAGAAGCGGUGAUAGGUAUAAGCUGUGGAAUUUUCUCUUACAGACACAUGGCGUCCAUUUUUACCGGAAUUGGAUAACCUUAAAUCCUGAGGACCAAAUCAAAACACUGUUAUUCCAACUCACACGGUUAAAUGAGGACUGUCCCAAUGAAAGUAACAGAGCAAAUACAUUAAAACUGUUGCACAAUAUUCUUAAGCCUUUUUGAUAUAUGUGAAUAGGAUUUAUAAAAGACUGUUUCAAUAAAUGUUAGUACCAUAAAUUUAUUCUACUAAGGAAAACUGGCUGUACAUAUUAAGUUAUGUUUUACAUAAUACCCGUGAAGUUGUCCGUUUGUAUCUCUUACAUUUCGUUUCGUUUCGAUAUAAGAGAUACUAAAUGGAGGAAAAAGCGAUGUAAAUAUGUGUUGUAUUUAUACUAGUCAUGCAAUUAAACAUAUUCUGUAAAAGUCUCUUUAGAAUACGUUUGUCUGAAUCUCUUAUAUUUCGUUUCGGUAAAAGGGAUAUCAGAAUGGCGGAGACCUAAUGUUUGACUUGUAUGAAAUUUAGGUGUCGUUUUUUUUUUUUUGUUUU